rnacentral:lncRNA from 1 species
GUAGUCUGUAAGGAACCCCAUAACAAUUUUUACUUGAUUUUUAUACAGUGCAAGCAACUCUCUUUCUUUGUAUUAAGAGGUCUAAAAUAAGAAUCUUUGUUUGGCUUAGUCCACAAGUAGACUUCCAAUGGGAGAGGUACUGAGCUGCCAACCAGUUCUUCAUAAUCAACUCAAAUGCUUCAGAUCUCAUGCCCAGAGCAGAUUCUGCUUCAGUAAAGUGAAGAGAAGCUCCUUCUUUGGCCAGUGUAUUUGCAUUCUCAUUACACAUGAUUCCUUUGUGCUCUGGCACUCAAACAAGUUGAACCUUGUUUUUGGUAGCCAUUCCCAUACAAGCUUUGAAGUAAAGCAAAAGCUAUCAAGUACUUUUAAUGUAGCUUGAUUAUCUGAUGGGAU